GUGGGGUGACAGUAUGACUGUCAAGUAUAUCCUAAUUAACUUAAUUAUGCGAUUAAGUCAAUAUUAUGGAUGGUGAAUUAAUCCAAGAUUUGAUCCUGUUAACUCUCCCGAAUUCCUUCUUUAACAUCUCCUAAGAGAAGAAAGGCGAAGAAUAUCUUCACCAAGGGUAUCAAUUUUCAUUACAACAAUGAUGAGCAUUUGAAAGAAAUUGCAAAAGCUGUCUUACAAAUGUGAAACAGAAGCAGGAUGCAAAAGUUGCAUCUGCUAAUGGUUUGUAUAUGAUACAAACUAAUCGUUGAGUGCUUCAGCUUUAGAAUUUUGGGUAUGGGAUACCUCAUAUAGAUCUCACUUAUGCAAAGCUUUGUUGGACCUAUAAAGCUUAAGAGAGGUGACUUCAUGCCUUUUUAUCUCUGAUGGAUAGUCCAUCCUAACUAAGGCUGAAGGAACCUACUUAUAUAUGUAACCUUCUAGUAAUGUUUAGAAACUAAUAGACUAUUAUUAUAUACCUAAAUUUAUCAAAAACAUUAUUUCAAUUCCUUUAUUAUUGUAGCAUGGUUUUGAAAUUAAUGUAUGGGGCAAAAGUUGCUCUUCUUCUAGUAAAUUUUAUGGAUGUGGAUUUAUGAUAGUGGUCAUGUGUUUCUGUCACUCAAUGAUGUUGUUCUUCAUGUUGAUGAAAACAAAAAAAAUUCAUAUGAUAGUCAUAUAUUUCUGGCAUUGCCAUCUUAGCCAUUUUUGU
rnacentral:lncRNA from 1 species